ACUUUAAUCCACCUGACUGUUGAUGGGUGGGGCUGGGUUCCUCCCUGUUGGUUGUUUUGCCUGAGGCACCCCAACACUGGAGCCUACCUGGGCUCUUUGGUGGCGCUAAUAACAGACUCUGGGAGGGCUCAGGCCAAGGAGUACUUCCCAGAACUUCUGCUGCCAGUGUCCUUGUCCCCUCGAUGAAACAGAGCCACCCCCCGCCUCUGCAGGAGACCCUCCAACACUAGCAGCUCCUGGCAGUGAAUGGUAUCAUGUGACAGGUUCUGGCCAACAGACUGUGAGUAGAUGUGCCAGGAGUCACUUUGAUGGUCUUCUUCACCUGGCACAUCAACAGCAAGAGGCUUUAUCUCCACGGUGGAGCCAUCAGAGAGAAACAGCCUGCGUCCCUGAGCCCCUGCUGAAAAUGAGAUGCCCUGGAGGACACUCAGAGCCACAGCGGACUUUGCUUACCUUGGAGACCUCUUUCAUUGUCAAGGCUGAAACCUUGGAGAGCUCGUCCUUUUUCAAGAUUUUCAACUCCAUGCCGACCUUUCCAGCUCUGUAGACCUCCAGGCCCACAUCCCCG